rnacentral:lncRNA from 1 species
AUGCCUAUUGUGUCACUUGAGUUUGCUGCCAAAAUCAAGUCCCUAUUUAGUAGGCAUCAACCCAGAUGGUACGCAACUUAUAGUAACUAUUGCUUCUCUAAACAGAGUUUAGCAAUUGAUACUACAUCUCAUUUAAGUUCUUUCAGACGUCUUAAAUAUAACUGCGGGACCUGGAAGCAUUUCUCCUGCUUCGCUCAUUGCUUGAAGACACCCGACCACGCGCGGAACCGACUGCCAUGUGGCGUUAGCACAAACCAGCGGUGUCACGGGAGCAAAACGCUGCGAUGGGGUCGGCUGCCGGUCAGGCGGCACGGCCGAGGGAGCCCUUUAGGAAGGCGUCCUCUCCUGAGGACGAAGGCACGAAGGGACCCCAGCGAACCGCGCAACACGGCGCCAGGCGGGCCGCGCUGCCGGAGGAAGGCGGCGCUUGGCCGGGGCGCCCCGCCCGGCCCGGGAAGUGAAAGCGAAAUGCGCAGCGGGCGGGGCGGGGUUUGCGCGGUGUCACUGCCGUCCCGCUCGCCGCGCCGAUGUCCCACGGGCCGAGAAGGGGACGGGAGGAGGGGGAGGACGGAGCGGCGAGGGGCAGCCAGGCGCGGCACGGCAGCCUCCACGAGUCCGCGGGCGGCGGCGGCAGGAGCCAGGGCCGGCACGAGAGGAAGAGGAAGAAGCAGGAGGCGCAGCAGCUGCAGAAGCUCCAGCACCUGGAGUCCUUCUACGAGAAGCCUCCCCCAGGGCUAAUUAAGGAGGAGGAAACAAAACCAGAAGACUGCAUACCUGACGUACCAGGCAAUGAAAGUGCACGAGAAUUCCUGGCACAUGCCCCAACAAAAGGGCUUUGGAUGCCUUUGGGAAAAGAAGUCAAAGUUAUGCAGU